AUCCAGCUGACGAGUCCCAAAUAGGACGAAAUGGACGUCCUGAAU
rnacentral:hammerhead_ribozyme from 1 species